rnacentral:piRNA from 1 species
GAGGCGGGCAUGACACAGCAAGACGAGAAG